UCCCUAGUGGCUUAGCUGGUAAAGAAUCUGCCUGCAAUGCAGGAGACCUGGAUUAGAUCCCUGGGUUGGGAA
rnacentral:tRNA from 1 species